AGCAGCCGCGGUAAUUCCAGCUCCAAUAGCGUAUAUUAAAGUUGUUGCAGUUAAAAAGCUCGUAGUUGAAUUUCGGGAUUGACACAUCGGUCGUGCCUUAAGGGGUAUGAACUGGUGUAGUCAAUUUCCCACCUUCUGGAGAACCGCGAUGUCCUUAAUUGGGUGCCGCGGGGAACCAGGACCUUUACUUUGAAAAAAUUAGAGUGUUUAAAGCAGGCAUUUUGCUUGAAUACAUUAGCAUGGAAUAAUAAAAUAGGACGGAUGAUUCUAUUUUGUUGGUUUCUAGGACCACCGUAAUGAUUAAUAGGGAUAGUUGGGGGCAUUAGUAUUCAGUUGUCAGAGGUGAAAUUCUUGGAUUUAUUGAAGACUAACUACUGCGAAAGCAUUUGCCAAGGAUGUUUUCAUUAAUCAAGAACGAAAGUUAGGGGAUCGAAGACGAUCAGAUACCGUCGUAGUCUUAACCAUAAACUAUGCCGACUAGGAAUCAGACGAUGUUAAUUUUUAAUGACUCAUUCGGCGC
rnacentral:rRNA from 1 species